rnacentral:rRNA from 1 species
CCUACGGGAGGCAGCAGUGGGGAAUAUUGCACAAUGGGCGCAAGCCUGAUGCAGCCAUGCCGCGUGUGUGAAGAAGGCCUUCGGGUUGUAAAGCACUUUCAGUCGUGAGGAAGGUAGUGUAGUUAAUAGCUGCAUUAUUUGACGUUAGCGACAGAAGAAGCACCGGCUAACUCCGUGCCAGCAGCCGCGGUAAU